AACCCGGAGAAAUUCGGACUAAUACCCCAUAAUGAUAUUUUGAGGCAUCUCUUUAUAUUUAAAGUUCCGACGGUACGGGCUGGGCAUGCGUAAGAUUAGCUAGUUGGUAGGGUAAUGGCCUACCAAGGCUGCGAUCUUUAGGGGUCCUGAGAGGGUGAUCCCCCACACUGGUACUGAGACACGGACCAGACUCCUACGGGAGGCAGCAGUGAGGAAUAUUGGUCAAUGGGCGCAAGCCUGAACCAGCCAUCCCGCGUGAAGGAAGAAGGCGCUAUGCGUUGUAAACUUCUUUUCCAGAAGAAUAAAAUUUUGUACGUGUACGGAAUUGAAGGUAUUCUGGGAAUAAGCAUCGGCUAACUCCGUGCCAGCAGCCGCGGUAAUACGGAGGAUGCAAGCGUUAUCCGGAUUUAUUGGGUUUAAAGGGUGCGCAGGCGGAAUAGUAAGUCAGUGGUGAAAACCUGCAGCUUAACUGUAGAAUUGCCAUUGAUACUGUUAUUCUUGAGUAUGGUCAAGGCAGGCGGAAUGUGUAAUGUAGCGGUGAAAUGCUUAGAUAUUACACAGAACACCGAUUGCGAAGGCAGCUUGCUGGGCCAUUACUGACGCUGAUGCACGAAAGCGUGGGGAGCGAACAGGAUUAGAUACCCUGGUAGUCCACGCCGUAAACUAUG
rnacentral:rRNA from 1 species